UACGUAGGGUGCGAGCGUUAAUCGGAAUUACUGGGCGUAAAGCGUGCGCAGGCGGUUCGUUAAGUUCGAUGUGAAAUCCCUCGGCUUAACCGGGGAACUGCGUCUGAUACUGGAUGGCUUGAGUUUGGGAGAGGAAUGCGGAAUUCCAGGUGUAGCGGUGAAAUGCGUAGAUAUCUGGAGGAACACCGGUGGCGAAGGCGGCAUUCUGGGCCAAUACUGACGCUGAGGAGCGAAAGCCAGGGGAGCAAACGGG
rnacentral:rRNA from 1 species